rnacentral:tRNA from 1 species
GCCGACGUAGCUCAACGGUAGAGCGUCUGAUUUGUAAUCAGAUGGUUGGAGGUUCGAUUCCUCUCGUCGGCUCCA